rnacentral:rRNA from 1 species
GACGAACGCUGGCGGCGUGCUUAACACAUGCAAGUCGAGCGGUAAGGCCUUUCGGGGUACACGAGCGGCGAACGGGUGAGUAACACGUGGGUGAUCUGCCCUGCACUUCGGGAUAAGCCUGGGAAACUGGGUCUAAUACCGGAUCUGACCUCCUAUCGCAUGGUGGGUGGUGGAAAGAUUUAUCGGUGCAGGAUGGGCGCGCGGCCUAUCAGCUUGUUGGUGGGGUAAUGGCCUACCAAGGCGACGACGGGUAGCCGACCUGAGAGGGUGACCGGCCACACUGGGACUGAGACACGGCCCAGACUCCUACGGGAGGCAGCAGUGGGGAAUAUUGCACAAUGGGCGAAAGCCUGAUGCAGCGACGCCGCGUGAGGGAUGACGGCCUUCGGGUUGUAAACCUCUUUCAGCAGGGACGAAGCGCAAGUGACGGUACCUGCAGAAGAAGCACCGGCUAACUACGUG